rnacentral:rRNA from 1 species
CCUACGGGGGGCACCAGUGGGGAAUAUUGCGCAAUGGGCGGAAGCCUGACGCAGCGACGCCGCGUGGGGGAUGACGGCCUUCAGGCUGUAAACCUCUUUCAGCAGGGACGAAGUUGACGUGUACCUGCAGAAGAAGCGCCGGCUAACUACGUGCCAGCAGCCGCGGUAAUACGUAGGGCGCAAGCGUUGUCCGGAAUCAUUGGGCGUAAAGAGCUCGUAGGUGGCCGGUCGCGUCUGCCGUGAAAGCCCGCAGCUUAACUGCGGGUCUGCGGUGGAUACGGGCCGGCUAGAGGUAGGCAGGGGCAAGUGGAAUUCCUGGUGUUGCGGUGAAAUGCGCAGAUAUCAGGAGGAACACCGGUGGCGAAGGCGACUUGCUGGGCCUUACCUGACGCUGAGGAGCGAAAGCAUGGGGAGCGAACAGGAUUAGAUACCCGUGUAGUC